ACGAACGCUGGCGGCAUGCCUAACACAUGCAAGUCGAACGAGACCUUCGGGGUCUAGUGGCGCACGGGUGCGUAACGCGUGGGAAUCUGCCCUUGGGUUCGGAAUAACAGUUGGAAACGACUGCUAAUACCGGAUGAUGACGUAAGUCCAAAGAUUUAUCGCCCAGGGAUGAGCCCGCGUAGGAUUAGCUAGUUGGUGGGGUAAAGGCCUACCAAGGCGACGAUCCUUAGCUGGUCUGAGAGGAUGAUCAGCCACACUGGGACUGAGACACGGCCCAGACUCCUACGGGAGGCAGCAGUGGGGAAUAUUGGACAAUGGGCGAAAGCCUGAUCCAGCAAUGCCGCGUGAGUGAUGAAGGCCUUA
rnacentral:rRNA from 1 species